UUUUCAUCCAAGCAGCCCAGGGCCUUUUGGUACCAUGAGUUUCUCAUUCGGGUUUUGUUCCCCUCCUCUUCAGCUCGAGAGUAAGAAGGAAGGAUCGAGCUGUCAGAAAGAAUGGCUUGUUGCUACCAGGAUCCAGAGACAAUGAACUGUACAGAAGUUUUGCAGGAUAAGCACAGCAGUGAGACAAACCAGCCUUGUCACCCAGGGGUGGACGAGAUGCAGGCUUGUGUGAGAGACGGUGCGGUGCGAUAGACUUCAAAACCUAAGGUAACCCAGAUCCAGGGAUGAUGCUCUGCCUCCUAAGAAGCCGCCCCAGAGUCCCAGAGGGCACUGAGGAGAGGCGCACACCUGUGGUCACCGCGUCCUGAAUGUGCGCAUCCUCACAUCCGCGCUCCAUCCCAGAGGCUUCUGAAGCAGGGCUAAGGCUAGGCACUGAGUCUGGAUCAAACAAGCCUGUUGUGUGUGAGAAAUAUAUCUGUCCUAAUGUGGGAAAUUACUCAGACCGCACUUCAACAUCCCUGAAAGAGGCGAUCGUCUAGAAGGAGAAAGCCCAGAGGAGACAGUUAUAAUCUGGAGGGAAGGUUUGCAAGCCAAAGGCACUUGGAGAGAAAUCAGAGCAGCUCUCUGAAAUUGAGAAUGAAGCCCCCUCUUCCUGGAGCCUUGCAG
rnacentral:lncRNA from 1 species